rnacentral:rRNA from 2 species
CAGUCGAGCGGGGAAGGUAGCUUGCUACUGGACCUAGCGGCGGACGGGUGAGUAAUGCUUAGGAAUCUGCCUAUUGGUGGGGGACAACAUCUCGAAAGGGAUGCUAAUACCGCAUACGUCCUACGGGAGAAAGCAGGGGAUCUUCGGACCUUGCGCUAAUAGAUGAGCCUAAGUCGGAUUAGCUAGUUGGUGGGGUAAAGGCCUACCAAGGCGACGAUCUGUAGCGGGUCUGAGAGGAUGAUCCGCCACACUGGGACUGAGACACGGCCCAGACUCCUACGGGAGGCAGCAGUGGGGAAUAUUGGACAAUGGGCGCAAGCCUGAUCCAGCCAUGCCGCGUGUGUGAAGAAGGCCUUAUGGUUGUAAAGCACUUUAAGCGAGGAGGAGGCUACUUUAGAUAAUACCUAGAGAUAGUGGACGUUACUCGCAGAAUAAGCACCGGCUAACUCUGUGCCAGCAGCCGCGGUAAUACAGAGGGUGCAAGCGUUAAUCGGAUUUACUGGGCGUAAAGCGCGCGUAGGCGGCUAAUUAAGUCAAAUGUGAAAUCCCCGAGCUUAACUUGGGAAUUGCAUUCGAUACUGGUUAGCUAGAGUGUGGGAGAGGAUGGUAGAAUUCCAGGUGUAGCGGUGAAAUGCGUAGAGAUCUGGAGGAAUACCGAUGGCGAAGGCAGCCAUCUGGCCUAACACUGACGCUGAGGUGCGAAAGCAUGGGGAGCAAACAGGAUUAGAUACCCUGGUAGUCCAUGCCGUAAACGAUGUCUACUAGCCGUUGGGGCCUUUGAGGCUUUAGUGGCGCAGCUA